GUGCUUGCUGCAUGCAGCAGCACAUGUGCUAAACUUGGAACCAUACAAAGAAGAUUAGUAUGGCCCCUGCACAAGAAUGACAUGCAAAUUCAUGAAGCAUUCCACAUUUUU